GAGAUGGAUGAAGCAAAGAGGAAGGCCAAGGCAGUGGUGGUGGGAGGCAGCAUAGCCGGGAUAUCCUGCGCACACGCUCUUAUCGCUGCUGGGUGGGAUGUGGUGGUGCUCGAGAAAACACCUUCAGCCCCCAUCAGUAGUGCCACCGGUGCCGGUCUUGGAAUUGACCCUUUGUCCCAGAAACUCAUCCGGUCGUGGCUGAAUCAACCGCAGGCUCUUGAAUUCAGCACUUUGCCUCUCACCAUUGAUCAUGUGCGUAAAAAAUAUUCAGGCAAAAAAACAUAUGUAUCACAGUUCAUUUAAGCUUUAUCAAUUCAUUUUCAUAGAAGUAUUUAAACAUUCAUCUUGUCCUUUUGCUCUGAUUUUUAUUCCCGAAUUAACGUAUAAGUUUGUUCUUUAAGUCAUCACUGAUGAACGGAACAAUGAUUCUGGAGAUUGAUGCAACCUUUUCGGGAUUAAUAGGCUGAAAAUGAAGGCGGGAAUGCUGGAAAGAGAGUUUAGUAGGGAGAAAGCUUGAUUGGCUUUUAGUAAACAAAAAUAGAUGGAGUGUUUGGUUCGAGUCUAACUAGUGACAAGGUCUUGGUGCUGUAUAGACCUCUCGGCAUCUAUUUUCUCGUUAGGCUAAGACGCACCGCUAUGGACACUUAUGUUUGAUACGAUACCAUCUGAUAUAUGUGCAAUUUUAACAACUUAGAACUUCAUUCCCUUCAAAAUAACAUUGGAAUUAUCUGGCUUUCCACUUUGUAAAUCCUUGUGUAAUCUUAGGAACAAGCAACAGACUGGGACAAGAAAAUUACCUGGACACUGACGAGAGAUGAAAACUUCAAUUUCAGAGCAGCACAUUGGGCUGAUCUUCAUAGCCUAUUAUACAAUGCACUGCCUCAGGGAGUUGUUUUAUGGGGGCAUUUUUUCCUCUCCUUUAGCGUCUCUGAUGCAAAAUCUGUGAAAGUUAGCGCUGAAGUGAUUCAAUCUGGUGAUACAAUUUAUAUAGAAGGUGAUUUGCUUGUUGCCGCGGAUGGUUGUCUAUCUUCCAUUCGUAAAACUUUACUCCCCGACCUUAAACUCAGGUUUGUGAAUAAAACAGAUACGAUACUCACCUUUUUCUCUUGUUCUGCAAUGAGAAUUCAAGAACUAUGACACUUUGUUUCUUGGAAUGACAUUGUUUAUGGUUAGAUAUUCGGGUUACUGUGCUUGGAGAGGGGUCCUCGAUUUUUCAGGAAAUGAGAACUCAGAAACCAUUCUGCAACUCAAGAAGGCAUUUCCCGAGCUUGGCAAGUGCAAUUACUUUAUCCUAGGAGUUGGAACUCACAGUAUCCUUUACGAGUUAUUUAACAAAAGGAUGAACUGGAUUUGGUAUGUUAAUCAACCAGAGCCAGAUCUUGAGGUAUGUUCUUGCUCUUAUCCUUGUUUUGUAUUAUACCAUGAUUUUUUGCUAUGACAUUAAGACAUGAACAUCGCUAUAACGAGCAAUCUUCUUUUAUAUAAGGGAAAUUCAGUUACAACUAAAGUCAGCAGAGACAUGAUUGAAGACAUGUAUGAAGCGGCAGAGAAGGUUUGGGUUCCAGAAUUUGUGAAACUAAUGCGAGAAACUAACGAGCCUUUCCUGAAUGCAAUAUACGAUAGUGAGCCACUAGAACGAGUAGUUUGGGAUAACGUGGUUUUGAUCGGAGAUGCAGCUCACCCGGUAAGUCCUCAUGGCGCGAGAAGCACAAACAUGUCGAUACUAGAUGCUGCAGUCUUGGGCAAAUGCCUUGAGAAAUGGGGAUUGGAGAAUCUAAAUUCGGCUCUUGAAGAAUAUCAGUCUAUUCGACUCCCAGUCAAUGCAGAACAGGUUUUGUUUUCACGGAGAAUGGGACGUAUCAAACAAGGUUUAGUGCUUGCUGAUCGUGAGCCCUUCGAUCCAAGAUCAGCAAGUGAAGAAGAUUGUGUGAAGCUGCAGCUAAGAAACAUCCCUUUUUUCUCUGAAACUCCUUCUAUAUUGAUAAACCAUGAAUUCAUGUAGUCGAUUCUAAAUUUAUGAAUAAAGUUCAUUUUUUUCGUAUUGAUGUGAUGAAAUGAGCAUGUCAUGGUCGAGAACGUUCCUUGGGUUCUUAUGGCUUUUGCCGAUGUACUUAGAAACUGUAAAACAUUUUUAACUAGAAAUAAGAUUUUAACUUUCUUUUUCUUUCUCGUACCAUUUAGUACCAUUUACCAAACACAAAACGAGAGAAUAAUAAAUGACUGUUCUAACAGUAUACCAGUGGAGACCAUAAUAAUCAAUCAAGUUUCUAGCAGAUGCAUUAAUCCAGCUGCAACUCUCAUUUAAUUUUGUUGUGUUCAACAAAAAUUUAAGUUUUCAUUAUCAAUGUGCAAAUUUUAGAGGAAAUGCCUGUCUCACUUAUACUCCUAUAUAUGCAAUAUUUUAAACACAGAUCAAAAUCCAAGAGAAAUUAAUAAUUUCAAGUGAGAUUUUGAUCAGUAUUAUCAAAAUUAUGAUAUCACGGGAUAGGAUCAUCAAGUACGGAGAAAAUGAAAUUGCACUGAACAGAAAAAAUUAGAUUAUUUUUAGUGAACAAAUAAUAUUUUAAACUUUACUCACUAGUUUUAUUAUAUUCUUGUAGAACGAAGAGGGAGGGAGGAAGAACAGAGACGGCGAGACCCACUGAAGCCGAUUCAGAUCGGAACCCAAGUCACGUCUCGUCUGCGUGGAUCCGUUGCACGGGUCAAGUACCCAAUACCUUCAAUACAUGCUUUGUCACACCAACACCACAAAACUGAAAUGCUCGACAAGUAACAAUAUGCAUGAGCAUAUACACCCUUCUCACAAUAUGAUCUCCUCUCAAGUUCCUAUACAAUAUUAAUAGGCCAAUAACAUGCGUGUAAUAAUUUUUUAUUGAAAAAUGUGUGAUUGAAAUGAUGUCAAAUCACUGCUUAAGAAUGAAUUUUUUUCUAAAGAAUGUGGCUCAAACAAGGGCUAGAAUAUAUAUAUGAAUUAGGACAGACCUGAUUUAUGUAUACGAUGCUCGUCUUACAGAUCUGCAAUCUCAAUACCACCAAGAGAUCUCCUAACACGUCUUGUAUAUCGAUAUCAAUUUCAAAUAUCGUAUCAUCGGUUACCCUUAAAGUUCACUAAUACUUCAAGCAAUAUAUCUAUUCGACACGAAAAAAUAUAUACAGGGCUCGUCAAGCCGAUCUCCAGUCCCAAAAUCAUUAGAGAGCUCUUGAUAUUGCAUUUAUAUCGACAGCGAAUCACCAACACUCCACACUGACUACUCUUAACUAUAUAUAUAUAUAUAUAUAUAUAUAUAUAUAUAUAUAUAUACAUUUUAGUCACACAUCUCAUAAAUUUUUUCUAUCAAUUUUAUUUUCUAAAAAUUUAUAUCAAAGUGGCACUGAAAGUCCAAUUUGAUACAUGUGCAAAUUUGUACUUAGAUGACUUCGUUCAUGCGCAGUUGGCACCUCAGUCAAGGACAAGUAAAAAAUAACAUUGCGUUUGCCGGGAGUCGAACCCGGGUCUAUUGCUUGGAAGGCAAUUAUCCUAACCGUUGGACUACAAACGCCUUGAUGUUGUUUCAAUUCUAAUCCAAAUAUAACUUCUAACUAAUAAUACGCCAAUUCUGAAUUUCCCUUCAAUGCAAGAAACCUGCAUCAAACCCGACGUAAAAUAGUUGCCAACAAGCACGAGUUCAAAAACAAAAUAAGUGACCUAACUAUACCUUCGCGAGUUGUGACUCCGAAAUUUAACAAUAUCUUAUGCCUCCAACCUCUUCAUUAAUUAGUUAUAAAAGUUAUGAAGAGCAUGGGCAGAACCACAUGGGGCCAUGUGGGAUCAAAUGAUUCCACCUCUUAUUUUUUAUUUUAUUAUUAUUAUUAUUAUUAUUUUAAUUUUGUAAUCGUUUCUUUCACGGCUUACUUUAAUGUGCGCGUUAUAGGAUAUCAAACGAAGUUGAAAUAUUGUAUUAUUAAUAUCAUUUCGAAGUAUUCACAGCUUAAUUUUCCUCUAAUUAAUGGCACGUGACACGAUCAACUGCAAUAAAAAUUACAGCGCAUCAAACUAGGCCAUUUCAAACUAAUAUUUUUAGAAUUUCUAUAAUAUGCUAACUUUAAAAAUUUGCCGAUGAUCGCACUCUAGCUGAAUCCACAAAUUGCCUACGUCAUUUAAAAACUCGUUUUGAGAACUACAUUGUAGUCAUAUCAAAUAGUCCAAACGGAUAUCGAAAAUAGUUAAACGUAUGUCUAACAUAGGUCUUUAAAACAGACGUCUAACUCUUCUUUUCUUUAAAUUUUUUUAAUUAUUUCGUUAACGUGUAUUAGUUUUGCACAAUAAAUUUUUUAAUAUGAUUUACAUCGUUUUAUUGACAAAUUUUACAUGAAGUAUGAUGUAAAAAAUUUUAGGAUAGUUAUAGAUUAAAUGUAAUGAAUUACUUUUGAAUUAAAUUUGAAUUUCAUUUACUUUCUACAUUGAAUUUUAAUUUUAUUUCAAUUCAUUUAUUUCGUACAUUCAACUCGAUUUACUCGUCGUCGACUCAACAUUUGUCAACGAGAUGAUAAACAAAACUAUACAAUUAGCAAAAUCCAUUUGACUCCACAUUACAAAAGCUCUGGGUCCGCCCCUGAUGAAGAGUGAAACUUAUUCCCAUAAGACAACUUAUUUAAUAUUUUAAUUAACAUCCAAACAAAACAUAAACUAAUACCAAGAUUCUCUAAUAAAUUGCUAAUUAUUAAUAAUCAAUUCUUGUUGUCAUUAACUUUCUUGUUCUACUUUAUAAUUCCCACGAGUGUUGACUCGGGUUUAAUUAUCAUCAAGUAUUUUGCUAGACAAAAACUGUCUUUCAAAUUAACGAAAAAGGGAAAAAAGUAAAAUCAGUAACUCCACAAAAAUGGAAACAAACAUGUGGUAUCUGUUAAUUUCUAGCCACUACUGUUCAAUCACCAAAUGAAUAGGUAGGUAACGAAAAAUAUGUUUAACACCAAUGUUUUUGAGUUGGUGUAGAGCUAUCUCUUAUAAGGAGAUUUACAAAAAAACCUAUAUCUAGUCGAGUGCAGUUUGUAAGAUAAGUUAAUGCUCCAAUUGUACUAAAAUAUAGUACUUCAGAAUUAAGAACAUUUUUCCAAUCUUCAAGUGGACGAAGGGAUCAUUUGUACAUCAAGCUAUCGAACAACCAUAGUUAAUGCUAAUGGAUGUACAUUAUGCAUAUAAAAAUGUUUUAAAACUUUUUUGUAUAUGUAGAUUGAUGAACAAAUAAUCCUUCUAGAAAGUGUCCAAUCUGCAACCUAAGACAAAAUUUAAUUUUUCCCAAAUCUUUCAUCUCAAAUUCAUUUUUCAAAUAAUCUGCAAUUUCAUUGAACUCUUCAGAAAUUUCAAUUAAAUUUAAAUUAUCAAAAUAAAUUACCACAAUUGCAAAUCCAAUACUUCUUUUCUUUAUGAAAAUACAUAGGCAGAUAUCGUUAUUUCCGUAACCCUCCUUCAACAAUUAUUAGUUAAGGCGACUAUACCACAUGCGUUUAGAUUGUUUCAAUCCAUAUAAUGAGCUUUGCAAUUUAAUUGAGAGCAAGGUUCUCAAGUAUGUAUCAUUUUUUUAUGACACUUUAAGUCAUCGAGGAUUUUCAUAUAUAUGUCAAUAUCAAAUGAACCAUACAAAUAGGCAGUUAUUACAUUCAUAGAGCACAUAUUGAGCUUUUGUAAACAAUCAAACUAACUAAAAAUGUAAAAGUGAUAAUGUUUAUUAUAGGAGAAUAUAUUUUUUAUAAUCAAUUCCUGGUCUUCGUGAAAAACCUUAAGUUACGAGUCGGGUUUUGUAUAUUGUAAUUUCAAUAUUUUCAUUUUUCUUUCAUACAAAAACUCAUUUGUAUUCAAUAAGGAUUACAUUUUCAAAUGUUUGAACUAGGGGUCCAAACACUUUCCUUUUCUCUCAAAAAUUUAAUUCCGCCAGUAUAGUUUCUUUCCAUUUUGACAAAUCAUUUCUAUAUUGACAGUCUUUAACGGAUUACAGUUCAGGAUCUUUAUUUUUGCAUAAUAUCAAGAGUUAAUUUAAAGGUAAAAAUAUUGUCUAUGACAACAAAAUUUCAUUCCUAUAAUUUAUGAGAUAACAUAUAAUUUAUUGAAAUCUCAUUUGUUGACGUCAAAAUUAGCAAGGCUAAUUUUAAACCAACUUUAAGAAAAGGGGGAAUUUAUUGUUGAAAAAGACCACAAAAUACCAUAAGCUUUUACAUGAAUGUGCUUUUUUUUUUUUUUUUCGGAUUACAGUUCAGGAUCUUUAUUUUUGCAUAAUAUCAAGAGUUAAUUUAAAGGUAAAAAUAUUGUCUAUGACAACAAAAUUUCAUUCCUAUAAUUUAUGAGAUAACAUAUAAUUUAUUGAAAUCUCAUUUGUUGACGUCAAAAUUAGCAAGGCUAAUUUUAAACCAACUUUAAGAAAAGGGGGAAUUUAUUGUUGAAAAAGACCACAAAAUACCAUAAGCUUUUACAUGAAUGUGCUUUUUUUUUUUUUUUUUACAAGAGUUAUACUCAACUAUUUAUACAUAAUUUCAGCCGAAAUUACAUCAAAUCGGUCAAAUCAGCUACAGCACCCAGCUAGAAACUCGGGUCAUCGAAUUCUCUUGUGAUUGGUCGACGAGGUCGAUGGCCAUGUGUCAAUGUUUUUCUCAGGUAAUGAUGACCUACAAGAGAUUUGAGGAUCAGGUCUUCGGAUUGGUGGUUAUGGGCGGUGAUGACGUCACUUGUCGCAAGUGUAUAUGAUUGACAGGGUGAUGUGAUAGGAAGUAAUCAUGAUGUUUUUCUGAGAUAACGACGGGCGAGUCCGAGUUGGGAGCAGUGACCGAACUCACACCUGCCUGAGGUGGAGUUAGCGAAUUGUUUUUGUUAGAUCGGAGUUCGAUUGUCAACAUCAUUAUUUUCAAAAAUUUGUGUUUCUUCAAGAACCAUAUUUUCAAUAUUUGAUUAAUCAAUAUUUUUUAAUGUUGCUUCAUCCAAAAAUUUUUGUUGGAUUUUUCUUGUAUUUUUCUUUUUUGAGGUACAGAAUUUUUUGAACCAAUUGAUCGAUCACGCUUCUAGCGUAUUUGAAAUUUUUUUGCUAUAGCAGAUUAUCUUUUAGGGACAUCAAUUUUUGUUGAAAUAUUUUCUACUGAAAUAUAUGAUUUCGUCAUUUUUCUUGUAUCAACAAAUAUAUCAGGUAAUCGAUUUACAACUCUUUACAAAUGAAUGAUGUUUUUCAAUAUCUUGUUCUCAUUGAUUGUUGCAGGAUUAAAGUGAGAUAGAGUUGUUUCAUUCCAAAAAAUUUUACCUUAUUUUUUAGAAUGUAGUUUUCCUCCUUCCAAAGUUAGGAAUCAUUUCAUGAAAAUGACAAUCUUCAAAAUGUGCUAUAAAUAAGUCACCCUUUAAAGGUUCAAAAUACCUAAUAAUAUAUGGUUAACCAAAACCCACAUAAAAUCAUAAGUCUCCAUUAGGGGCCUAUUUUAGUACGUUGUAGGGAGCGAAAUAGGACUUGGCCCGUAGAUAAGAAAUAUUUGGUUCAUGACCAAAUGCCAGUUACAAAUGUAAAUAUUGAUAAUAAGUAAUUGGUCUAAUACGAAGUAAUGAUGCAAUAUGUAAUAUGACAUACCCCCAAAGAGAAGUUAGGAGUUUUGUUUUCAUAAGUAAUAGUCUAGCAAUAUGUUAUAGACGUUUAAUAAACUACUCUGCUAAAUCAUUUUGUAUAUGAACAUGCGAAAUUGAAUGUUUAAAACAAUUCCAAUUGACAUGCGAUAAUCAUCAAAUGCGUAUGAUCUAAAUUCACUAGCAUUAUCAAGAUAUAUAGUCUUGAUUGAGCAAUCAAGUAAUUGAGCUCGUAGUUUUAUGAUUUGAACAAGUAGUUUAACGAAGGCUACAUUUCUAUUGCAAAGUAUGCAAACAUGUGAUCAUCUAGUAAAAGAAUCAAUUAACACUAAAAUAAUGAAAUAGUCCACAUUGUGGGUGUAUUGCCCACAUAUAUCUCAACGAAUUCAAUAUUGACAUUUAUAGUCGAAAGUCUAAUAACUAACUUACCAAACUAACAAACUACACAUAGAUAAUUAUUAGGAAAAAGAAUAUUCUGGUUCUUUACAGGAUAUCCAUAUGAGUUGUUUAUUAUUCGGUGCAUCAUUAUAGUUCCUGAAUGUCUAAGUGGAUCAUGCCAAAGUAUAAAUUUUUUAGGUCAACGAACUUCUGCUUCUUGACAAUAUUUGAUUCAACUAUUUUUAUAAAUAUAUAAUACAUGACAGAUGAAAGUGCAUGAAAUUUUUCUUUUAUCUUCUUCUGACCAAAUAUAAAAGAAGUUAUGUAAAUAUAUCUAUUGCAGUGGAUUUGCUAGAAUAGAACGCAUUGUCAAUAUAUAAUUUUAUAUUAUUUGGUAAUCUGCAAAUAUCUUUUCUUAUAUGGAAGGUACAAGUCCCUGUUCUUUGCACUUCUUGAUAAUGUAAUUCACUAGUGGCUUCUGAUUUUCAGAGAGUUGGGGGUUCUUGGGAUGGUUAUUGGCUUACAGAAUCUCUCCUUCACGACGGAGAUAGUUUUUCUGGUGGUGUGGCUUACUGAAUGGAUCACCAGCUCGGAGACGGUGGAGCUAAAUCAAUUAAUUGUGCUACACGAUUGGAGCAUUGAAUUACUCCCACAGAUAUUAAGCUUCUGUACAUGUGUAAUAGGAUGUACAAAUUGUAACUAGUGCUGUUCAAUCUGGUCGUUUAAAGAUAUAAUUACAGCUAAGUGCAUGUACAUUUAUAAAAUAAUUUUCAUAAAAAUUAACUUUCAUUUUCUCAUUCUAAUUGGGUCCUUUAAAGUUAAAUCUUCUCAUAUAUUAUUAUAAUUGACAUGGGACAAACUUUAACACGUAAGUAUUAGCAUGAUAUUCCUGUCGUGACUCGUAAAGUCUUGAUACCUUCAUAUGAUAAUUUUUGUUGUCACCCCACCCACCAUUUUCUCAGAAUCAAGAUUCUCUCUCUCUCUCUCUCUCUGGAAGACGCGCACGCGCACACAGUGACAGAGUGAGAUGGAUGAAGCAAAGAGGAAGGCCAAGGCAGUGGUGGUGGGAGGCAGCAUAGCCGGGAUAUCCUGCGCACACGCUCUUAUCGCCGCUGGGUGGGAUGUGGUGGUGCUCGAGAAAACACCUUCACCCCCCACCAGUAGUGCCACCGGUGCUGGUCUUGGAAUUGACCCUUUGUCCCAGAAACUCAUCCGGUCGUGGCUGAAUCAACCGCAGG
rnacentral:lncRNA from 1 species